ensembl:lncRNA novel transcript
UUUGGUCGUCUCUGCCCCAGUCCCUUCGCCGCGGGACGCGCGAGACGGGAGAAGGUGCGGGAAGCGGGAAGCAGGAGCGGGAGCGCGCGGCCCUGGCACGCAUAGGGCGGCGGAGAGGGCACGAGCAGGGAUUGAGCACCUACUGUGUGCCUUCACGCUUUACAAAAGGAUUUUCGUUCGAUGUUCACUACAGCCCCUGCCCGGGGGUACUGAUGCCCCAUUUACAGAGGGACAAGCCGGAUUUCGGAGAGGUGAAGUCACUCGCCGAAAGUCGCACCGCCAGGGUCUGCGUGACACCCUAAAGCAGUGUUCAGUUACCCCGGGGAGAGCGCGAUGAACUUGAACCACUUGUUGGCUGGUUCCUGCUCUUGCUCGUUUUUUGCGGAUCGACACAUAGUGGGCGCUCAGGAAAAUAAAUGUUGGAAGCUUGAGAUUGAACUUGACAGCUCGACCCUAGGUACCCGCCACGAAUCCAGCCCAGCCCGCGGGGCACCGGGUUUCUCCAGACCUCGCAGGGAACAUUUGCGGAUGGGCUGGUAGAGGAGGCUCGGACAUCCCAGUUCCGCACCCGCACUCGACCAACGCGUGGUAGCGGAACCCCUGUCGUAGCGAGGCACAGACUGGGUUCAAGUCCCGACUCUGCCGAUUUCAGCCUGAGUGACUUUGAGCGAGUCACUUUUUCCCGUCGAAACCUCAGUUGCUCCAUCCACAAAAUGGGAAAUAUGAACAGCCACCCUAAAACGGUGUGGGGAGGAUUAAACGAAACAACGUUCCCAAAACUCUAAACUUACAAAUGUUGUCUCCCGUCCAUCCCAUAAACUUAGGCGACAAACCUGGCGCAGGGUGACCUGAGACAAAGGCUUCCCGGCCCCUGUCUCCAAGUCGUCCAUCCCUGGGGCGUAGGCACGUUUUAGUGAGCCCUGUCCGGCGAAACCCGAAACUGCGGCCACCUUGGCAGCGGUGGGCCCCAAAAGGAAAUAUUCAAAUAUUCUGAAACUCGUGCAUGAUUUAGGACUGACAUUUUUACGUUUAAUUUUCUUGCAGUUUUAUUCUUGCUAGUAAAGGUAAUUCGUUAGAAACCCUUAAGUGCAGUUUCUCCUCUGUGUCUUGUUUAACUUUUCGUGUUAGCGAAAUUCACAAAUUUGACCAAGGAACCGGAGCGCGGCCGUCCUCGCCGGGAUUCCGGUCAUCGCAAUAAUCUGGCUCUCGGCCCCUACUCCCAGGCACGGAGGUCGAAGAGACGGGCUUCCCCUACACCGCCCUGUGUAGAUGUAGCCUCUUCGUCCCGGCAGCCCUCCGAGAUUCCCUGUGUCCACCGGAGCGAGGAGAGGUGUGGGGCUGCAGCCCAGAACUCAGCUUCCUGGACCUCCCCAAACUCCCGCCUCUCCGGGAUUAAGGGAGUAAAUCCCUGACGCCAAAGACCAGGUCAAGGACAAGUUCUCCCCCGCCCUACUCCCCCCUCCUGGGCGGGGAUUCAUCUCCCUUCCGGAUGAAAGGUACUAAAGAGCCGACGGGGGGCCGCGGCGGGCCCCAGGCCCUUGAUGUUCCGGUUGAACAGGUGCUGGUGAAAAGGAGGCGGACCCGGCGGAAGAGUCUGCCAGGGGGCAGUGCGCCGAAGGGGAGGCGGCCUCCUCCACCCCCAGUCCCCCGGCCCGUCUUCCCUUCUCCUCUCUGUUUGCCCCUCCCCCGCAGGAAGCGUUCCCGGCCGCGAGGUCUUUGAAGUGUCGUUGAAGCCCCCAGGGCUGCCUUCUCCCCUACGCCACCCGAACUCCCGCUGUGGGGGGCGGGUGACCUUUAGUCCCCACGAGUCGUCCCCCUUUAGGAAGUUUUUGGGGGUCAGAUCUCACCCCCCCUUGCCCACACAGGUUGGGAAGAAGACUUUGGGCCGACGCCCCUCACUUCUCCCCCAGACCCAAUUGCAGGGACUUUAGUCCUCUGGAGUGCUGCGUGUGAGUUACCUUGUGUGUCUGUGUGCGUGCCUAGAGGUCAAGUGUAACUGGUGUUCGUGAGCACCUCGUGGUUGCGGGUCUCUAACUCUCGUGGGUCUCUAAGCGCACCCGCGGGGCUGGAGCGGAGGUUCGUGUCUCUGGGAGGGUCAGUGGUGUGACUGAAGCUGGGAGUUAGCUCGUGUCUGUGGGUGCCUCGGUGUGUGUCUCUGGGGCUCUGAGUCCCUGUGCGUGCGUGUGUGUCUGUGAACCCGACAGGAAGCUCCCCGAGGGCAGGAAUAUGUUUUGCUCUCUACUCGAUCCCAGCGACUGGCAACGAGCGUUUAAUAAAUAUCUGUUGAAUGAAUAAA